CUGAGCUCAGAGGCUAGAUGGGUUUGUUUGGAUUCCAGAAAGCGGUUGAUAAGAGAUUGGAAAGUUGUUUUGGUGUGGGAAAGAGCAGUCAGAGUCUUGGUGGAGGUUGGGAGCAUAAAGCUGUCCCCCAAAGCUGGUGCUGACAGCUUCUCAGGGAGCUCAGAUGUCCAAGAGCACAGCCUUGUUUAUAAGGCUAGGUGGCCUGGGUGACGCUCCCACUUCACUCUCUGGGCCUCAGUUUCCUCAUCUGUAAAAUGGGGAAUCUCCCAGGGUGCAAAGAGAUGUGCAGUCAUCUGUCCUGUGUCCAUCAGGGGACAGGGGAUCCCUGGACUGGUCAAUGAGAGAAGCAGAGGAGGACUCACCCGGUCACAGCGCUGAAGGUGAGGGUGUCCACACUGGCUUCAUAGCCUCGGCCCUCGAAGUGCAGCGUCAGCCAGAAGGGCUGGCCCCGCCGCAACACCAGCCUCUCCGGCACAGGUCGGCCGUGCGGUGGUCUCGGCCAUUGACCUCUAGCUGCAAGUCACAUCUCUCCAGGACCAGAUCUGUGGAGGUGGGGACAGCAGGAGAAGGUGAAUGGUGACGGCAUCUCUCGGUGGGCUGUGAUGCCCAGUGACAUGCCGGUACACGGGGACAUGGGAGCAGCCCUUGCCAGCAAUGGUGAGCCUCUCUGCACGGCCCUACAGACCCCUCACCCACCCAUGACACACAGGGGCUGGCUGGCCUACAGCGGCCUGAUUUUCUUAAGCACAGGGUAUGCCCACUGUAGAAGGUUCUGCUGACUCGCAGCUGCGUGAGCCUCCAGCAACUCAGUUUUUCUGUGCCUCAGUUUCCUCAUCCAUCCCCAAGGUGGGGCAUGGCUCCCCAAAGGGCAGCUGUUGUGAGUAUUAAAGGAAUCAGUGCCUGUGGCGCCCAGCACAGAGCCUGGUUCUGCAGCAACAUGAGCUUGUCCACCACUUAGGGUGGGGGGGCAGGUUUCAGUCAGGCAGUAUAUGGUGUAGAAUUACAUGGUGUUUGAAGCUGGGUCCCACUUUCAAUUUACUGGAAAUCCCCAGGACUGUGGAU
rnacentral:lncRNA from 1 species